UCUUCAGCCUCCGCAAGAUCGCGCACCGCAACUCUCUCCGCCUAUUAGAGGUCUGGUGAAAGGGAUGCGUCUCUAGCCAAUCGGGGCGGUGCCUGCUGAAUUCUGAGGAUUUCGCUUGGCUUCCCACGUGACAAAGAGGGAUUGCUGGGAGGGGGAAGGGAAGCGCAGAAGCAGCUUAUCUCGCUGCGACCUAACUGCAAUUCCUUAGCCCGACGUGGCCGCGCCAUGACUACCCACAGCUUCGCCGUGCCUGUCAUCCUCUUCUCCAUAUUCUGGGGACUCGUGGGAUUUGCGGGGCCUUGGUUUGUGCCCAAAGGGCCCAACCGCGGUGUGAUUAUUACCAUGUUGGUCACUACUGCCAUUUGCUGUUACCUCUUUUGGCUUAUAGCAAUCCUAUCCCAAGCCAACCCACUGUUUGGACCACAACUGAAGAAUGAGACUAUCUGGUAUGUGCGUUACCUGUGGGAGUGACCCAUGGUGCUGCAGACUGCUUCAACAGGUACCAACCCAGGAGCACCUGCAUGUUCUCAUCUGACCUAGACAGCUCCAUGCUUUCCCCCUUCCAGUACCAAGUAAACAGAUUUUACAGCCAACAUGGCCCGCAAUAGGAUCAAGUACAUAGUAUGACACUGCGUGUAUUGUUAUUCCUUUCAUAUUCUCAAUAUGAAUUGCUGAUUAAAAUAUUUAUCCCACUUUUCAAAAACACUUCUAAAGACCCUGAAAGUUAGAACUUCUAGUCCUGCCUCAGCAGUUGCGGAUUAACUUGCAUCUUAAGUUAUCAACAGAGGAAACUGUCAAAUUUUGUGGGUUGAGAAAUUAGGGGUCAGUGUCUCCUAUUACCCAGAAGUAGGGUUUCAUAGAGAUUGGUAGGCUGCAUUGGGAGAGAAAGGCAGGAAAAUUUAUUCUACCACUGGAAAGUUAGGUCUGGACACAACCCAUCAUAUCUAGUACACUUUAUUCUGCCUUCCCUCAAAGGAACGUAUGAUUCCCUUUUUUUUGUUUUAGCCUCUCUCAACAAUUCUGUGAAAUAAAGUGCAACUGAAAUUGACAAGUACAAAAUUGCCCUGUGAUUUUGCUUCUAGUCUGACACACUAAUUCUCCCUAAAGCUCCUUCUUUAAAUAGGGGGCUAGCCUACUACUAGGCCUCCGCCCUCCCCUUAUUUGUGCCAAGAUGUAUUUUCCUUGGCUCUCCUCCCCACCUGAACUGAUAACAUAUGUGUAUAUUUAUCUUCUAUGAACCUGUAUUGUGAAAAAUAAAAAUUUUAAUAUGUGAUCUUA